GGCGAACGCUGGCGGCGUGCCUAAUACAUGCAAGUAGAACGCUGAAGAGAGGAGCUUACUCUUCUUGGAUGAGUUGCGAACGGGUGAGUAACGCGUAGGUAACCUGCCUUGUAGCGGGGGAUAACUAUUGGAAACGAUAGCUAAUACCGCAUAACAAUGGAUGACACAUGUCAUUUAUUUGAAAGGGGCAAUUGCUCCACUACAAGAUGGACCUGCGUUGUAUUAGCUAGUAGGUGAGGUAAUGGCUCACCUAGGCGACGAUACAUAGCCGACCUGAGAGGGUGAUCGGCCACACUGGGACUGAGACACGGCCCAGACUCCUACGGGAGGCAGCAGUAGGGAAUCUUCGGCAAUGGGGGCAACCCUGACCGAGCAACGCCGCGUGAGUGAAGAAGGUUUUCGGAUCGUAAAGCUCUGUUGUAAGUCAAGAACGGGUGUGAGAGUGGAAAGUUCACACUGUGACGGUAGCUUACCAGAAAGGGACGGCUAACUACGUG
rnacentral:rRNA from 1 species